CUAAUCAGUCACUCUCGUAUGCUCGGACUGACUGGACGCUUCCCCUUUCGGACCAGCAGCGGACGAACUCGUCAUCCUCCACAUUCCAUUCGAACUGGCUGUGAGCGCACAGUUUUUUUUUUUUGUGUCGUCGUUUCUUUCUUCUGUCUGAUAGCUGAGCUUGCGGAGUUUUAAUCAUUAUUAGUGCUAGUCGUAUUUCACGGGAAUAAAAAGGCAUCAGUACAUCAUCGGUUGCAAGUGCGGCGCGAGUGUCGAACCCACCACCAGGUAUCGAACCACCGGAGAGGUUGGGAAGCAUUGAACAAUCAUCAAUCCCCGGCGGUUGGUUGAGUCAUUGUCGGCCAAUGUGGUAUUGUGUUGUCUCUCCAUGACUACACGGCCGAUUGACGGCGAUUGAUAGUUAUUAAUCUGUGCUGCUGUGCUGCAAAGUCACCAAAAACCUCGUUCAGGGAAACGGAAAGUGCGAAGCCCGUGAUCAGUGUUUGAAGGAAAACUGAAACGAAAAAUUGUGUUGGGAAAAGGUGUGACAACUAGCAGAAACCUCAUUCGCGCGCGCUCGACGGUGACGGACGAAAUUCAAAUUGUGAAGAAAACUGGUGAAAAUCGAUUGGUUCUUUCGGGACGGAGCGCGUGGUGCUUGUGGUGGCAAAAUUCAACGGCAACGCGUUUUGCGAAUUCGGGGCAAUUCCAGUGACAACGGUUGUCACGUGAAGUCAAAAAACAAAAACAACUAUCUGAACCAUAAGAGUAUUGGAUUUUUUUUUAUUUUCAACAGAGCACUGCCAGCUUCAGUAUUUAAAAAAAGGUCAUACAAAUUACAACCAGGUGUUUCCAGUAGAUAAAGAAAAAACAAAUCAAGACAGCGCUACUGCGUGCAAAAAAAGUGAACAUCAAAAGUGAGCAAAACUUGUCGCAGCAGCAGCGUUACUGGAAGUCGUGAGGAUUAACCCAAUCUGUGGAGUGUGGGGUGUGUGUGAGUGCAUUGAGGACGAGCGUUUUCGGAAUCAAAUGUUGCUGUAGUGGGACCAACGUUUUCAACGCCCCGUACCCUCCGAUUUUAGUUCUCUUUUAGCCUUAAGUCACCGCCUUUGGGCCAAGGUAGUCGUAGAGCACUGUAGCACACAGACGUGCAAACUGUAUCACCCCAAUAAUGCACCGAAGUAGGAUACACUGGCUGUGGCCAGCGGCGGUGGCCCUUCUGGUGGUCGCACCUUGGACGCCCAUUUCAGCGACACCUGUCCAAACAACGUCACAAGCGGAGCUCUACCUGUCACAGUUUGGCUACCUCAGUGCAAAGUUCCGAAAUCCCACCAGUGGGAGUCUUCUGGAGAAGGAUACAUGGGAGAAGGCAAUCAUGGAGUUCCAGAGCUUUGCCGGGCUCAACGUAACCGGCGAGUUGGAUGGCGAUACGAUGGAGCUCAUGUCACUGCCUCGGUGCGGAGUACGAGAUAAGGUCGGGUUCGGUUCGGAUUCCCGAUCGAAACGAUACGCCCUGCAGGGCAGUCGGUGGAAGGUGAAAGCCCUCACCUACAGGAUAUCCAAGUAUCCGUCGCGACUAGAUCGAAACGAAGUAGAUAAGGAAAUAGCCAAGGCGUUCUCGGUGUGGAGCGAAUACACCGAUCUAUCGUUCACGGCGAAGAAGAGCGCUCCGGUGCACAUAGAUAUUAGGUUCGAAGUGAACGAGCACGGUGAUGGCGAUCCGUUCGACGGUCCGGGAGGAACUCUGGCGCACGCUUACUUCCCAGUGUACGGAGGGGACGCUCACUUUGACGAUGCGGAGUUUUGGACGAUCGGGAAAAGUCGAGGGACGAAUCUGUUCCAGGUUGCUGCCCAUGAGUUUGGUCACUCGCUCGGGUUGAGCCAUUCGGAUGUACGGUCGGCGCUGAUGGCACCGUUCUACCGGGGGUAUGAUCCGGUCUUCCGGUUGGAUUCUGAUGAUGUUCAGGGAAUCCAAGCUCUCUACGGACGUAAAACCGGUGGUGGUGGUGCUGGAGGCGCGGGUGGUGGUUUCAAUCCACCACGCACAACGUCACGCCCUGUGCAGCGAGAUCCCGACUCCGAACUGUGCUCCUCACCGAAGAUCGAUGCCAUGUUCAACACGGCCGAUGGCAGCACGUACGCCUUCAAGGGAGACAACUACUACAAGCUGACGGAGAAUGCCGUGGCCGAGGGGUACCCGAAGAAGAUCGCCGAAGGAUGGCCGGGACUGCCAGGAAACAUCGACGCCGCCUUCACAUACAAAAACGGAAAGACGUACUUCUUCCAGGGGACCAAAUACUGGAGGUAUUCCGGCCGACAGGUGGACGGAGACUACCCGAAAGAGAUCAGCGAAGGAUUCACCGGCAUUCCGGAUCAUCUGGACGCUGCUCUGGUGUGGGGUGGCAACGGCAAGAUCUACUUCUACAAGGGUAGUAAAUUCUGGCGGUUCGAUCCGCUGAAGCGACCACCAGUCAAGUCCACGUAUCCGAAACCCAUCUCCAACUGGGAAGGACUGCCCAAUAACAUUGAUGCUGCGCUGCAGUACACCAAUGGUUAUACGUACUUCUUCAAGGACGAUAAGUACUAUCGGUUUAACGAUAGGACAUUCUCAAUUGACCAAUCCGACCCACCGUUCCCACGGCCGGUGGCGCACUGGUGGUACGGCUGCAAGAACACUCCCUCGACGUUCGACACGCUAGGUAAUGUUAAAGCUAGUAAGAAUGAAGAAGUCCAGCACGACAAUGUCGCCGAUGAUUUGAUUUUGGAUGCGGAACACAUGCAUCCUUCGCUCAGAGUCAAUAAUGAAGGCCGUGAUGUCUAGCUAGCUUGUGGGUGGAUAUCCCCCCUUUCCUCGAACCAACUCCAAACCCAAACUCCGCCUGUGUUGCUGCAUUGCAACACACUCCCGAUCCACGUGGUGAUCCCCUACAUGAUGAAAGUUUUCUACCGAAACUCAUACACAGCUUCCAUCCGCCGCCAGUAGUGGCGCUUUUGUUUCGUUAUCAGUUUAGAGUCUCGCUUCUGUUCCGUUAUGAUUAUGUAUUGUAGAGGAAAUUAUCGAAACAAAAAAAAAAAAAAUACGAGCGGAAAUGUUUGGCCAUUUUCAUUCUGUAACGCGUGAGCAUUCCGGACGAUUCAGGGUGGCCAAAACUAUGCUCGUAAGAUUGUUUUUAAGUUCGGAUGCAGACAAGACACAACCACCACACCAACAGACAAACACCCCACUCUAUGGCCAACAACCAUCGAAGACUGCAGCCCAGCCAAUUUUAUUUAGUAGCAAUUAUGCGAAGAGAUCCGGUACCGACGAGCGACCUGCCGGCGACGACUACAACCGAGGAAGUGGGGCGAGCUCCAUCUGGACCAACGUCAGUAUUAUCCUGUUCUCAGCACUGCUAGGGCUCGCACUGAACUUCUAAUCAGCCUGAGUCGGAGCGCGCGAGGUUUGCGUUCGUCAUUUGUUACCAGUUCGCUUCCGAGGAGUAAGUUCAGCGAUCGAGUGAUUGAGAUUUUGUGAGUUCGAGAAGGGAAAGAAACUAUGCCCAAUUCAACCGACCAGCCCCCCAUGUGAGAACGAGAAAUAACAUACGUAGCAACAGCAGAAGCAGCAGACGAUGAGUUUUGCGUCAGUAAAUUGAUCUCACAAUUUGUUCCGAGCGCAGUGCAAACAACUAUACACACUAUUUCGAGCCAGUGACCCAGCCAGAUCCCUUCUCCGAGGGAGCCUUAAAUGGAAACCCCUCCAUCUGGACCCUUGAGCAGUAACAGUAAAACACGUCGUGAUACAAAGAACUUAUGAAUAUUUUUUUCUGAACCAGUGUGUUCCAGCAAACGCACAAGCAACUGAAUCGAUUUUCUUAGUUUCAGUAUACAAAGUCUAUUCUACAUGUUAAUAUUUUUUGUUCCAAUUCAACCACCAUAGGAUUUCCAAUUGGUUUUCUGCUAUAACAAAGAAACACAAAUAUUUCAGUCAAAGUCAUUACCAUAAGAGCCUUAAGAUUUUUAAUUAGGGAUUUACAACAUAAAACUUCGAAUGAUACGAGUGAAGAGAAAACAGUAAACGGUGCCUUUUAUCGACCUUGUAAAUAACCAUUUUAACUAAAGUAAUUCUAAACGGAAGAAAAACGUACUAAAACGCAAUCUGAAAGAUUGUAAUGCAAUGUGAAGGGAGAAGUAGCAUUCUACCGAUUGUUGAUUGUUAGUUAUCAUUUUUCCUAUGCCUUCAAAAAAAAUCAAACACACUUUUUGUUAUCCAAUUUUAAUGAUAAAAGGAAAUUUCAAACUUACCAUAUCUUCGUGCAUUUCUCUUCAAAUCAAAGUGAACUUGAAUGCCUUCAUUAUGUGUAUCAUUGCAGAAUUAGGUGAAUUUAUUAUCAUAAUAUGAAAAUUUUGUACAUAUUUAUUGCGAAUAGACUUAGGAUUAAACGGAAAGUAUAAUGAGAAACGGAAAACAAAACAA